AAGUUUCAGUGGGAGAGAGCCCGAUCAAAAAGAUUAGAAUCGAGUACGUUAUGUUAUUAUCCGGGACACCGAGACAAGGGCAAUGCCAUCUACUCACACUGUAUACAAGAUAGACGUUUUAACUCAAUCAAACCAUUGGUGUGUCUUCAGACGUUACAGUGAAUUCUUUGCUCUCAAUCAGAAAUUGAUUAGAGUACAUGGAAUAGCGAGAGAUCUGUUGCCUCCGAAGAAACUGACGGGCAAUGUGAUGGCCGCUCACAUUGAGACGAGAAGAGAAGCAUUCGACAGAUACUUACAGAAGCUUGUUAAUAGGAUGUAUGUGCUGUGAUGAAGAAACUUGAACACCAUUUCUAUCUCUACGGUGACGAGCUGCUGGAGAAGAAGAUUGGAUUUUUUGCGACACCAGACCAACUCUAUUGUAUAACCAAACAACUGAAAUUACCCGUCUGCAAGUCAGAUGCCAGUUAUGAUGUCGGUCACGUUUACAGUUUUGUUUAUAAUGUCACAUGUGACCGUCUCGUCGGCUAU